AUUUAGUCACAUAGAAAGAGAUUUCAGAAAUGUUGGACCUUGAAGGAUUCUUAUAGAUCACCUUUAUUUUAUGCAUGAAUAACCAAGGACCAGGGAGAGAAGGCCACUUUGUCACCCUCCCAUGGAAAGUUCCCAAACCCGUGCCCUAGCAUUCUUUUUCAGGCGUCUUCAUUUUAGCCACUUUGAUAUGUUUGAGAUAACAGUCCACUUUCCCUUUCUCUCUCUCUCUUUUUUCAUUUCAGUUUCUUUAGAUGACUAGUGGGUAGAGCAAAUUUUUAAUAUUCAACAGCUAUUUGACAUUUAUCUUUAUUCUAAAGAUAAAUCUCUAAAACCUUCAUCAAAUUUAUUGGAUCAUCUGCUUCUCUCUUCUAUGUUUAGGAGUUUCUUACAUAUUCUGUAUAUGAAUUCUUAAAUUUCCCUUAAUGUUGUUUAGUCAUCCGGGACCCAGUGUAUGCAUUGGCAGCCACCCUUGAGGGAAAUGCUCAUCUGCAGGAAGUGUUUGAGGAUAUUUCUUGGGAGUGCUGUUUGUAAAAGUAUACAAUUGGAAAUGCAUAAAUGUAUGUUUGUCUACUCCAGUUUGUCUAAUCCUGAGUGAGUCAGUAAAUUAUGGCCUGCUCACAUAAUGGCAAUAAGAGCAUAAAUGAACUAACUGGUUCUACGUGUUCUCUACAGAGUUGGUGCCAGAAACUAGAGCGUCGAAUAGAAAAAUAGAUAAAAUAAUACACACAGCAUCCGAUGCAGUCAAAUGCUAAUUUACAUUUCGGAGUAAAUACAUAUGAGCUAGAAGUGAAAUAAGAGCGGGCUAAGUACUAUGAGUGAGUGCUGCUCCAGCAAGGAUCAGAGUUCAGUUUCCAGCACCUGUGUCCGCUGGGCCACAGCCAUCUCUUACUCCAUUUCCAAGGAAUCAGGUGCCUCUGGCAUCCUUCAGCUCUGCACUCACAUGCACACACCCCGCCAUUAAAGACAAAUAGAUAUAAUCUUUAAAAAAUGAACAAACAAACAAAAAAAUCCCUCUAAAAUCGUGACUGGAAGAACAUUCUUCCCCCCCUAGGGAAGAAGACAGGAUAAAGGCCGGGUACUCAAUUGGGCCUGUGAUAGGCCUCGUUAAAAGAGAUUUAUGGAAAAUGGAAAGAUGUUAGCACAUGGUGAGUUUGAGCUCUGAGUAAAUGAAUGCCUGUGGCCUUAUUCUGUUUUAUUUGUGUACGAUUAAAUUAUUUCUGAAUAAAAGAAAAUAUAAAAACCUGGCAAAAGAGGUAGAUCAGAACUUUUUCCCAGUCAAACUAACAGAACAUGCACACACACACACACACACACACACACACACACACACAAUUAUACAUGGAACACAUUUAAAUAACUUGCACUAGAAGAGGUGGAAUGCAGGAAAGUUUUAAUGUGAAGGAAGGAUAGAAGCGAAAAUAGCGCAGUGACCAAGAAUGUACAGGAAGGGAUGGAGAGUUGGGGAAGGAAGGAGGCUGAUAAAAUACUCUGCUACCUAGCUUGCCUUGGGAGGUGUUGGAGGGAGAAACACGUCACUGGGAGUCAUAAUCAUUGAUUAAACCUUUAUAAACCAUUUAUAGUAACAUAUUAUAGGAACUGAAAAAAAAAAUCACAUAGGCCAACGUGUCCUUCAUGUUAGUCAUAAGACAAACAAGGCCCAGGAAAACAGAAAGAUAAGUCCGGGCAUUUUAUUUGAGGAUAUCUGUAUCCAGCUAUUCCAGUCAGUGAAUGUACUUGUACUGGCUGACUUUUCAGUUCAUGUGAGUUAUAUGUUUUAGACAGAUGGUUAAAAGGAUACAUAAGUCUUGAUUAGGAAGCAAGGAUAUUGUUGUGACUACAGAAAUGUCACAAUACAGACUAAUGGGUAGCCUCACAGGUAACACCUGUGAAAUGGGUGUCAUUAUGGAGACUCUCAAAGAGGGACACUAGAAUUCAAUUGCUGCUACCUCCCACUUGUGCCUGGGAGCCUCUUGCUUGUUGGCUGAUCAAUAUCGUUCUGGUUACAUCUGUCUUUUAUGACUCCAAUAAAGACUAUCUCAUUAGGUGGCCCAAAGCCAAGAGAUAACUAUGAAGAUCUUCCAUGAAGUUCUUACAAAAGGUGGCCUCAGGUCACCACCACUAAGAUGGAGCACCUUCCAUCUAGGACCUCAGUGCACCUUGCAAAUGUCAUAAAUCUUCAAAGCCCUUCCAUAAUGGAGAUCUCUCAAGAUGCAAGGAGCUGCCGCUGAAAGCACCCAGCAUCACUGGUGGAGCUGGACAGACACCAAGCCUUCCCCAUCAAGAUGCGAUGUGCCCUAGAUACUGUGAGCCCAAUAAACCCCCCGAAGUCACUUCCAUUGGGUGUCUUGUUACAAUGACAAAAGAAGAUAACAAAUGUACUUCCUGUCAGAAUUAGACAUUACGAACUGGAUAUGACUGCAUUUACAUAUGAAGAAUGGAGAGUUUGGGAACAUGAUUUUAAAUACACUACUCAAGUGAUUAUUUUUCCCUAGUCUCUCACAGACAAGAUUUCUCUCACUGAGUUGGAUAGCAGAAAUUAGAAUAGUAGGUCAAGCCUUGGAGGAAGAAGAGACUUAGUGGCCCUUAGGCCAUCUAGCAAGGAUAAUUUUCAUAGAAGAACAGUAGUGGGAUUGAUGACUCACAAUUUCAAUAGCCACAUUUAUCAGACACAUUUUACGUCAAUUGCUUUGAGAUGUAAUAACCCUUGUACUCAUUUGGACAUACAUUAGCAGUUUCCUGUAUUGCUUUCCAGUACCCUAAUACACUGGCUUUGUCUGAAUGACUGGAAAUGAUACUAUAAAACACUAUGGAUAUACUUGUAUUGGUUUUAGAUAGCAGUGGAUUUCCUGAUUCUUGGACCAGUGUUCUGGUGAAUCUCGCUACCACACUACCUCUUGCUGUGUCCUUAUCAGAUUUCAUAAGCUGAGCAGGCUUUGUCUGGGGACGUUUGUGAAUGGCAGUGGUCCAAGGAAAACCAGGUGCUGCAGGAAGUGGAGCUGGUGAUUCAGUCAGGUGCAUUCUUUCUGAUGAUUCAGGCUGACCCACUCACUAAUCACCGUGAGUGGGCAUUCUGCUUUCAGGGGUGCUCAUGAAUAAGAUGUAUGGUAAAGGUCUUAAUCAUUUCUGCUGACAGAAGAGUUUUCAUGGAGAUUUGCUCUAUCUUAUGUUGUCAGAAUUGCAACAGACAGGAUCAAUUCUGCUGUAGCAAUAAAUGCUAAAGGUAAUACCAUUUUAGGUAUGCUAUAUGCUCCACUUCCCAUCUUUGUUCAGCAUGGCAGCAUGGGAUAUGUUACUAAGCACUCAGGGCAUUUUACUUCAGAGCUAAAUUUACAUUUGGCUGUAAAUUUUUUUUUUUAAUUUGUUAAA